rnacentral:rRNA from 1 species
UUGAACGCUGGCGGCAGGCCUAACCCAUGCAAGUCGAACGGUAACAGAAAGCAGCUUGCUGCUUUGCUGACGAGUGGCGGACGGGUGAGUAAUGUCUGGGAAACUGCCUGAUGGAGGGGGAUAACUACUGGAAACGGUAGCUAAUACCGCAUAACGUCGCAAGACCAAAGAGGGGGACCUUCGGGCCUCUUGCCAUCGGAUGUGCCCAGAUGGGAUUAGCUUGUUGGUGGGGUAACGGCUCACCAAGGCGACGAUCCCUAGCUGGUCUGAGAGGAUGACCAGCCACACUGGAACUGAGACACGGUCCAGACUCCUACGGGAGGCAGCAGUGGGGAAUAUUGCACAAUGGGCGCAAGCCUGAUGCAGCCAUGCCGCGUGUAUGAAGAAGGCCUUCGGGUUGUAAAGUACUUUCAGCGGGGAGGAAGGGAGUAAAGUUAAUACCUUUGCUCAUUGACGUUACCCGCAGAAGAAGCACCGGCUAACUCCGUG